rnacentral:lncRNA from 1 species
CUUUCCCUAUUUUUGGAGCCUGCUCGCCCCCUCCCUGCCCAGGGGAGGGUGGUCCGCAGCCACCAGUUUGGCUCCCGCCCACCCCGGGGACACCAGGCUGGACUCUCCCGAGGUUCAAGGCUCACCAAAGCCUUGGCGAGAGCUCUGGCAGGUCCUGCCCCAGGGCCACGAGCAACAUCUGGCUGCUCACCUGCCACUGCUGCCGCCCAGCAGCGCCAACGGCAGAGCACUGAGGCUUGCAGACAGGAGCUGCUUCAUAGCUGCAAACUCUUACAAUUAUUGGAAAGGAGAAUCAUUUUCUCAUGUGGACCACUGUAGCGAGAUCUUUCAAGUCAGUAUUUAUCACCACCGUGGCUGUGUCAAUGCCAUGAAGGUUUGCAAGCAAUGCCUCCAUCCUCCACCUUCCCAGAAGGAUACAUUUCAAUUAAAAUGAGAAGCAAUUUAAAUAUUAGCAUGAGGUUUCCAAACAGAUUUGAAUAAUGCCCCAGCUGCACCUUGUUCUUGUUUGGUUCAUUUUAAAGGAGAACAUGCAGCAUUAACCAAAUACAUUCCAUGUUCUGUCAACACAGCACCACUAACAGCACGGACACCAGACACACGAGGAGCAGAGAUGUUUUUGUGGACGCGACGCCCGUGGCAUGUUUAAGCAGAGGCACUGCACGUGCUCUUACGUAAAGACAGGACGAGCCGGUAAUGCCAGAGCAGCUCCCAGGGAAGAGGCGGGCAGGAGGCCCUGGGGACCCUGCCCCGAGGGACCCCUCUGCUUCCCCAAACCAGCAACACUGAGCUCACCAGCACCGUCAGCAAGGACCAGUGUUCUGCCAAAUCAGUAGCCACGGCCAACAGCCAGGAAAUCACCUGACACAGCACGAGCAGUAGCACCUGCCCCCCAGGACAGCUGAAUUUCUAAGCAGUAAUUAUUUGACAAAGUCAUUGAAAGGUUUGUUACACUAUCCUAGUGAGUCUGAGCCUUUGCCCUGGCUGAAAUCUUUCCCGGAGCUGAGUGAAGAAACAAGAACGUUUUACUUACGGAGCCA